CUUCUUCUUUAAUUUUAUUCAUAUUAAACAAUACGCGGAUAAAACUUAUAAAUAUAGUUUGCAUUAAUCUCACGAUAAUGAAAAAAAAUAAAUAAAUAAAAAGGUUUGACUCAAUCUUCUGGACAAAGUAACUGGUAUUUCAGUUUUGUUUGUUUGAAUCUUUAAUUUAAAUUUUAAAAGAAAAAGUUUGGGCCACAUAUGCCAAAAGAAAAGGGGAAAAAUGACACAACUUCUUACAGCGUGCAAUGAAAAAGAAGAUGGUUACCGUUAUGUUGAGAUCUUUAAAGGGUGAUUGGUUCAUGAUGACGAAAGCCCAAAGUUUGACCUCGUUGACUGAAUCAUGAUGCGUGCCAUUCACGCUCUUCCAUAUUCUAUUUCUCAUUCAACCUAUUCCUAAUACUGAUAUAAAUUACCAAUAAUUAAGGAAAAGUCCGAGACAGAAUAAUCAAAAUUUUGAAAUAUAAAAAAAGGUUUUUAAAAAGUUUGGGGAUGAAACCACAUAUUCAUUAUUCAACCAAUCAAUAAUUAUAUGCCCACAAGCCAAGAUAUGUCGUUAGCAAAACAUCACAUUACGUUAGAUGUAUAGUAGUAAUAAUCGUAAAUGCCACACAACAUUAUUAGUAUUUUCUUUUCCUAAUCAUUUCUCUCAACACCAAAUAAAUAUAUAUUCUGUUUCCUCUUUUAGAUCAAUCUCACUCAAACCAUUUAUAAACUCUGAAUUUAUUUUGGAACUAUUUACUUUGAUUUUAUGAGAGAAACAUCCAUUCAUGACAAAAUUGUUGACAUAUGCAAUACUUAUAUUUAAAAAAAAAAAUACAUUUUGCAUCAAAGUUGAUUAAUAAUUAAUGAUGUUUGUAGAGGUUUGAAUAGUAGUGUAUCAAAAUUACAACAAUUCACUAAUUAUACAUAAAACGAAAUUAAAUAAUGAUGUCAUAUUUUUCAUUCCGUCUGUUUUGUUAUUUGUCUUAGCCCGUCACUACAAUAUUCUUUUGAAUUACAAUUUGGACUUUUUAAUUUUUUAUCUGUGACCUUUAUAUUCUUUUAGGAUUUUAUCUUCAUUUUUUUUUUCUUGUAGUUGAAUCCAACUUUAACCUAACUAUUCAUUUGAUAUAUUUAAUUGAUUAAAAUGCAGAUAUUUAAAAAAAUAAAGAACUAAAAUUGUGAAAAGAUAACAUCAAUCGGAGGUACAGUAAUUAACUUAUUUUGAAGGAAUUAUCCCUAUAUAUAUAUAAACAAAGAAAAGAUAAUCUAGAUAGAAUAAGAUGUUGUAUGAAUGAUGGAGUGUUCGAGUCCAGCUUGUACCUUUCCUUAUCUGUCAUACUACCAGAGUUGUUUCUCCAUCCUUUUCUUCAACCUAUCUAAGUUUCACAAUUCAAUUUGUCCCUACUCUCAUUUUUAAACUAUAUUUUACAUCAUAUAUUUUUAUUUUCCCUUUUUCGUUUCUCUAAAUGUGAAUUACACAUUCAUUUAUUCUGUAAAUGUUUGACCCAAUUAAAUAUUAAAAAGUUUAAUUGGUUUCUAUUAAUUUAUUUACAGAAAGAUAUAUUAUUGAGAAAAUAGUAGGAGGUAUAGUUUAAAGUGGUGUGAAGGAUAAGAUGUGUUUUUCUAAGUAAUUUGACUCCUUCCUUUUUGCGUCUCAAAUUCUCUCUCCGAAAUAUAAUAGAAUCUAAGAGCAUUUGGAUUGAAAUGGGAAGAAGUUCCACUACUCACACACUCAAACGACAACAAAAGCUUUCUCUCUCCUAUUUAACUUUCUCACUCAAACUCACUCUCUCUGUGUUUCUAAGAAGACAAACCAAGCCAUCUUAAUCUUCAAUCAGAUCUCCCUUUUUCAGUUCACUCUCUGCAACACCAACCAUACUCUCUCCUUCUCUCACACACCCACGAAUGCUGGUGCCAAACAAAACAACACAAACCAAAAACCUUUUCACAACGCUCAAUACGCCGUCGUAUGCAACACCCAAAUGAGGUGCAAGAAACAUACCUUAGACCUUAGCAGUACCGUCGGGGUCUGCGCCUCCUGUCUCAGGGAACGCCUCAUAGCCCUCGUUGCCGCGCAGGCCCAGGCCCAGCUCCAUCAUCCUCAGGCCCAAUUCACGCGAGUCAUCUCACGCGCCUCCGACGAUUGUUCC
rnacentral:lncRNA from 1 species